CGUGGACAAGAUCCACUGUCUCCUUCCCAUUUAUAUUUCGAAAGAAUAAAACCCUAAUUUUGUAUGAUUCUUCUCGAUCUGAUCGAGGUUUCUAUAUAGAAUUUGCUUUCCGAUUCUGGUUUCGCUGGGUUUCGGAGUUGGAGGAGGUUUUUGUUCCUGGUAUGACUUUUUCCCUCUCUUCUCUCUCACAUUUCAAACAGAACUCAAGAUGUCGGAUCCAGUCCCGAAGAGAUAUCUAGUCGGAUACGCUCUCGCUCCCAAGAAAGAGCAUAGUUUCAUGCGGCCUUCGUUGAUCGAACAUGCGCGGCAACGCGGCAUUGAUCUGGUCAAGCUCGAUCCGACGAAGUCCUUGUUCGAUCAAGGAAAUCUAGAUUGCAUUAUCCAGAAGCUUUAUGAUGUCGAUUGGAAGGAGAAGCUCCACGAUUUUCGCGCGAAAUGCCCCGGCGUUCCGGUCAUCGAUUCGCCGGAGGCGAUUGAGCGGCUUCACAACAGGGUUUCGAUGCUUGAGGUUGUUACUCAGUUAAAGGUUCCUAUGUUGAACAGUGAGAGAUUUGGUGUACCGGAGCAAGUUGUGGUUUUGGACCCGAGUGCUCUGAGCGGUGAAGGAGCCAUGGGAGAACUCAAAUUUCCAGUAGUAGCGAAGCCAUUGGAGGCCGACGGGAGUGCGAAGUCGCACAAAAUGUAUCUGGUGUUUGAUCAAGACGGGAUGAAGGUUUUGAAUGCCCCGGUUGUGUUGCAGGAGUUUGUGAAUCAUGGCGGUGUGAUUUUCAAGGUCUAUGUUGUCGGUGAUCGCGUGAAAUGUGUAAAGAGAAGAUCCUUGCCUGACAUUUCGGAAGAGAAGAUCGGUACCAUGAAAGGGUCUCUGCCAUUUUCGCAGAUUUCGAAUUUGACUGUGCAAGAAGAUAGGAAGGAUUAUGGGGAUGAUUUGAGUCUAGAGAGUGUAGAAAUGCCUCCAUUUAGUUUCUUGACGGAUUUGGCAAAGGCCAUGAGAGAGGCCAUGGGGCUCAAUCUUUUUAACUUUGAUGUGAUUAGAGACGCUAAAGAUGUUAAUCGGUACCUUAUAAUUGACAUUAACUACUUCCCCGGGUAUGCAAAAAUGCCAUCAUACGAGCCCGUCUUGACGAGUUUCUUCUGGGACAUUGUCACAAGAAAGAAGCAUGAGGUGAAAAUGGCUACUGAGCACGAGGUAAAAAUGGCUACUGAGAGUGUGACCGACGAUGCCAGUGGUGUUAGUGACGGAAGGAAAGAGUAGGCUGUAAAAAUCUGCAGAAUUGGUCCUUAUGCUGGUGUUGAGGAUUUGUACACAUGCAAUAUCGUUUGGAGGAUUUGCAAUUGCAGACUUCUCAAAGGAUUGCAUUUCAAAGGCACUUGUCCGGCCUUUUGUGGCUUGCUGCUAAUUUUGUUUGGGGAUGCCAUAUUGGGGGUCAAUCAUCUUGUACUUUGUGGGGUAUAAAAUUGAAAAUUGUGGCUGGAUGCUCUUAUAUCGGUCAUCCAGAUCAUGCCGAAGAAAGACCCUUGCUCUGCCCCUGGAUCAUUCAGAACACACCAGUUCUUGUGCAAGAAGGUAUGUUAUUGUCUCGAUGAAGCUCCUCUUGUUGCAUAACUAUAAUGAUGAUGAUGUGUUGAGAGGUCCUCCUGAUUACUUACUAUCCAUAUGGCUUUUAUGGUAGGGAUGUUAGAGCAAUUUACUGAUAUAGGUCUCUAUGAUUCUCUUGGAAAAACCUGGAUUCCCUGCUUGUGUUGAUCUAAAUGCAUUAGGUAAUGCUCUCUUACCAUAUGUGCCAUUUGAUUUGAUGAAGAUUCGUCUACUUUUCAUAAAUUAAUAAUCUUUAGUGGGCAAUCUUUCGUCUUCACGUUCUGUUUGUGAUUCUAUUGGAAGAUGCGUCUCUUGUUUAAUUAUCUUCAUUAUGGUCCCUUUCUUUUUUGCUUGGUUCUGGAUCAUCGCAUUGUUUGAACCAUAGAAGUUAGCCUAUCCACUUAUUAUAUUCUCUGAUUUUGAUGGUUUAUAACUUUAUAUGCAUAGAUUCGCAUCCACAUGCAAGUUGAGGCAUGGGGAUUUGGCAUUUAUGCUUAUUAGCUUUAGCAUCUUUGCACGGAAUUGACAAGAAAGAUUUGUGGAUGAAAUACAACUAUUCCGACAUUUCUCAUUACAUUUCCAAGUUAGAAUAACCGGAGAGAGAAAUGGUUACGUACCUUUGACUUGUCUUGUCUCUUUGAUUCAUCG